GAUGAACGCUGGCGGCGUGCUUAACACAUGCAAGUCGAACGGAACUACUCCAAUGAGAGUCUUCGGAAAGGAUUUGGUUUAGUUUAGUGGCGGACGGGUGAGUAACGCGUGGGUAACCUGCCCUAUACAGGGGGAUAACAGUUGGAAACGACUGUUAAUACCGCAUAAGCGCACUGGAGCGCAUGCUCCGGUGUGAAAAACUCCGGUGGUAUAGGAUGGACCGGAGUCUGAUUAGCUGGUUGGCGGGGUAACGGCCCAUCAAGGCGACGAUCAGUAGCCGGCAAGAGAGGGAGAACGAAGACAAUGAGACAGAGACGCGGCACGAACUCCUACAGAAGGAAGCAGUAGGUAAUAUUGCAAAGUGGGGUAAACCCAGAUGCAGCGACGCCGCGAGAGCGAAGAAGUAUCGCGGUAAGUAAAGCACGAUCAGCAGGGAAGAAAAUGACGGUACCUGACGAAGAAGCCCCGGCUAACUACGUG
rnacentral:rRNA from 1 species